CUUGCAAUUGGGAGAGAUUGUGGUGAAAGAUGCAAGAGUUCCUGCAUCUUCUUUGGGUGGUGCUUGAGGCAUUCUUCUGAAGGAGAUGGAUCCAGCAUCAAGUAUGUUUAUUUUCCGAGUGUGAAAAUGACUUGGAGCGGGAACAGGUUAUGUGGCCAAUAUAUUGAGAUUGAAGAGCAUGUGUUACAUGAUUCUUCUCUUGCUUCGCAAAUAUGGAGAUUAUCUCUACAACUAUUGGUGUCCAGCAUGCAUCCCUCUAGAUAUUCAACACUAUAAGCUCAACACUAAGCAACUUGGUUCCAAACCAAUGGCCAUGGAUGGGUUUGAUUUUUUGCAAUUAGAAAAGAGAGGUUACAGCAGCUACUUCCAGAUGGAAGAAAUCAGUUUUUUCAGUCGAUAUUGCUAAGGCAAUGCAAUUUUCCAUGAUCUUCAAUUAGCCAAGGACUUGCAACUUGAUUCUUUCGAGGUUGAAAGCAAGAAUCUGUAUGUGAUUUUAACAAUUCUUCAAGACACACAUGAAGCUUCUCCAUUGGAUUUUCUAGUUGCUAAUAUGCUAUUUAACAAAUGAUUUUAGAUUUCUCCUUUCA